GCGAGGCUAGUCUAGUGGUAGGACAGAAGCUUCCCAAGCUUCUAAUGCGGGUUCGAUUCCCGCGCCUCGCA
rnacentral:tRNA from 1 species